AACCGGGGACCUUGCGAUGCCUCUCUCUCGGUGGACGAGCUACAUUUGGAAGGACGUUUUCUUCAGUGUGGAAAUCUCUACUUGCUGGCUACUGCAGCAAGUCCCAGAAGGUCCCUUGGAUCUUUGAGGCUGUCACCUUCCUUUGCAAGUUUAGUCCUGAACCCGCUGACAACAAUCCAGUCUUCAGGAUGGAGGGCUGUCGGGAGCCCAGGGUAUCAUUGGUCAGACACUGAGGGGUGUGAGGGAAGAAGGAAUGGGGUAACCAGCCUGGGAGCGGCGAGGACGCAAGGACCACAGCUGCAGGGAGCAUCAGUCACCACCCGAUGGACGAGCUUCAGACAUGCUGGCCCUGAACACCAGCUGCUGGAUACAGAGCCACGGAGGGCGGCAGAGUCCUUCUCAGAGAUCCCUCCACGCCACCAGCCCCAGGUCGACCGGAGGGUGUGGGGAAGCAGGGAAUUCAGGGGCCACGGAGAAACCCCCACUCCAGCUUCUCCAUUUCCAGUGAGUGCCAGCUGGACGUCCGGGCACUCGCAAACGUGGACUCGUACAAGGUUGGCAAAAGCAACAGGCUUAGAGGAGCUGGCCCCAACUCGAACUAGGGCGUCCUCCCAGCUCUUGGCUCCCCCAAACCCGCAAGCCCUCACUCACCCGGCAGAAGCCCGCUGCUCUCCUCCGAAGGCAGAAACAGCCGUGGAUUUUAAGACCUGAGAUGAUGCAACACUGUGGCUGUAACUCUGGACUGAAUCUUGCUCUGUAUUCUAUGUAUCAUAUUCUCUGAGAUAAAAAGGCACUUCAGAGCAAAAAAAACACCAAACUCUGGGCAAGUUAAGAGCUGCUGGAGUUACAUACGUGGGGAAGAGCAAAGUUCUCCAAGAUGGUGUGGUCAAAUGAACAGGAAGCUUUCCAAAGAACAGGGGCAAAUUCAGAAGAACGGGUAAGUUCAGAAGCCGGUGGUCCAGAUGAAUGCGGACCCCAAGGUCCAAUUCUGGGUUUUGCUCUGAGCUACAAGCUUCAUCACUUUGUUCAAAACCCCCAGAGUUUUGUGUUCAUAAUAAAUGUAUUGCCUUGAUCACCCCU
ensembl:lincRNA